GUGGGCUUGAUCAAAACAGUGUUGAGGCCUGGCUCAAAAAGUUUCUGAGCAGCACCAUGCCAGAUUGCUUGUCACUGGAAAGGAAUAAAUGAAAUGCUUUAGAAUAACAUUUGAACAUGCUGGGGCUACUGGAGAACUGACAGACUGAGAAGGGUGAGCAGAUGGGCACUGUGCAUCUCCAAACAACCUUGGUGUCAACACCGAGUAGAACACUGGCGCUGGGACACCAGCCACAGCUCCGAGUAAGGCUUUAAUAUGUGUCCUUAGGUAGUUUUAAUUUAAUCUUUCUCCUCAAGCCUACCACGGUGUAAACUUGCACAGCCGGUAGUCCAGACAAGUCACACCACCCAUGCCCAUGUGAAAGCUAGCUGUGUUGACAACUCACCACUGUACGCCAAGGAGAGUCUUGUCAUUUUUGUACAGGAGCUACAGCAUGUAGAUUACCAAGUUUAUAUUAUGUUUAGGUAUUAAAACAAACC